rnacentral:rRNA from 1 species
GACGUAGGGCGCGAGCGUUGUCCGGAUUUAUUGGGCGUAAAGAGCUCGUAGGCGGCUUGUUGCGUCGACUGUGAAAACCCGCGGCUUAACUGCGGGCUUGCAGUUGAUACGGGCAGGCUAGAGUUCGGUAGGGGAGACUGGAAUUCCUGGUGUAGCGGUGAAAUGCGCAGAUAUCGGGAAGAACACCCGUGGCGAAGGCGGCUCUCUGGGACGGUACUGACGCUGAGACGCGAAAGCGUGGGGAGCGAACAGG